rnacentral:rRNA from 1 species
CGGAUUACUGGGCGUAAGCGGGCGCAGACGGUUACUUAAGCAGGAUGUGAAAUCCCCGGGCUCAACCUGGGAACUGCGUUCUGAACUGGGUGACUAGAGUGUGUCAGAGGGAGGUAGAAUUCCACGUGUAGCAGUGAAAUGCGUAGAGAUGUGGAGGAAUACCGAUGGCGAAGGCAGCCUCCUGGGAUAACACUGACGUUCAUGCCCGAAAGCGUGGGUAGCAAACAGGAUUAGAUACCCUGGUAGUCCACGCCCUAAACGAUGUCGAUUAGCUGUUGGGCAGCUUGACUGCUUAGUAGCGAAGCUAACGCGUGAAAUCGACCGCCUGGGGAGUACGGUCGCAAGAUUAAAACUCAAAGGAAUUGACGGGGACCCGCACAAGCGGUGGAUGAUGUGGAUUAAUUCGAUGCAACGCGAAGAACCUUACCUGGUCUUGACAUGUACGGAACCCUCCAGAGACGGAGGGGUGCCUUCGGGAGCCGUAACACAGGUGCUGCAUGGCUGUCGUCAGCUCGUGUCGUGAGAUGUUGGGUUAAGUCCCGCAACGAGCGCAACCCUUGUCAUUAGUUGCCAUCAUUAAGUUGGGCACUCUAAUGAGACUGCCGGUGACAAGCCGGAGGAAGGUGGGGAUGACGUCAAGUCCUCAUGGCCCUUAUGACCAGGGCUUCACACGUCAUACAAUGGUCGGUACAGAGGGUAGCCAAGCCGCGAGGCGGAGCCAAUCUCACAAAACCGAUCGUAGUCCGGAUUGCACUCUGCAACUCGAGUGCAUGAAGUCGGAAUCGCUAGUAAUCGCAGGUCAGCAUACUGCGGUGAAUACGUUCCCGGGUCUUGUACACACCGCCCGUCACACCAUGGGAGUGGGGGAUACCAGAAGUAGGUAGGGUAACCGCAAGGAGCCCGCUUACCACGGUAUGCUUCAUGACUGGGGUGA